AACGAACGCUGGCGGCAGGCUUAACACAUGCAGGUCGAACGCCCCGCAAGGGGAGUGGCAGACGGGUGAGUAACGCGUGGGAAUCUACCUAGUUCUACGGAACAACACAGGGAAACUUGUGCUAAUACCGUAUACGCCCUACGGGGGAAAGAUUUAUCGGAAUUAGAUGAGCCCGCGUAAGAUUAGCUAGUUGGUGGGGUAAUGGCCUACCAAGGCGACGAUCUUUAGCUGGUCUGAGAGGAUGAUCAGCCACACUGGGACUGAGACACGGCCCAGACUCCUACGGGAGGCAGCAGUGGGGAAUAUUGGACAAUGGGCGAAAGCCUGAUCCAGCCAUGCCGCGUGAGUGAUGAAGGCCUUAGGGUUGUAAAGCUCUUUCAGUAGGGAAGAUAAUGACGGUACCUACAGAAGAAGCCCCGGCUAACUUCGUGCCAGCCGCCGCGGUAAUAC
rnacentral:rRNA from 1 species